AUUGAACGCUGGCGGCAGGCCUAACACAUGCAAGUCGAGCGGGGUUUUCGGACCUAGCGGCGGACGGGUGAGUAAUGCGUAGGAAGCUGCCCGAUAGAGGGGGAUACCAGUUGGAAACGACUGUUAAUACCGCAUAAUGUCUACGGACCAAAGUGUGGGACCUUCGGGCCACAUGCUAUCGGAUGCGCCUACGUGGGAUUAGCUAGUUGGUGAGGUAAUGGCUCACCAAGGCGACGAUCUCUAGCUGGUUUGAGAGGAUGAUCAGCCACACUGGAACAGAGACACGGUCCAGACUCCUACGGGGGGCAGCAGUGGGGAGUAUUGGACAAUGGGCGCAAGCCUGAUCCAGCCAUGCCGCGUGUGUGAAGAAGGCCUUCGGGUUGUAAAGCACUUUCAGCGAGGAGGAAGGGGUGUGUGUUAAUAGUACACACCUUUGACGUUACUCGCAGAAGAAGCACCGGCUAACUCUGUGCCAGCCGCCGCGGUAAUAC
rnacentral:rRNA from 1 species